rnacentral:rRNA from 1 species
AUGGGCGAAAGCCUGAUCCAGCCAUGCCGCGUGUGUGAAGAAGGUCUUCGGAUUGUAAAGCUCUUUAAGUUGGGACGAAGGGGACUGACCUAAUACGUUAGUGUUUUGACGUUACCGACGAGCAAUAAGCACCGGCUUACUCUGUGCCAGCAGCCGCGGUAAUA